rnacentral:rRNA from 1 species
UACGUAGGGUGCGAGCGUUGUCCGGAUUUAUUGGGCGUAAAGAGCUCGUAGGCGGUUUGUCGCGUCGGAUGUGAAAACCCCAGGGCUCAACCCUGGGCCUGCAUUCGAUACGGGCAGACUAGAGUAUGGCAGGGGAGACUGGAAUUCCUGGUGUAGCGGUGAAAUGCGCAGAUAUCAGGAGGAACACCGGUGGCGAAGGCGGGUCUCUGGGCCAAAACUGACGCUGAGGAGCGAAAGCGUGGGGAGCGAACAGG